AGUAUUUUAAUAAUGCAUUUAACUUGGAGGUUUUAAUCUCCACCUGCAGGAAAGUUGUUUAGAGUCACAGCUUGAACUGGUGAUUGAGCACCUGGUGAAGAGGUGUGGAUGGCCCAGGGGGCACAAAUUGUUGGCACAUGUGCUCCCUGAUGGAUCAGAAGAAAAGGGCUCAGGGUGGAGCCAAUCUGGGCUCAUAUAAAAGUCAGCUGCUGAAGGGAGAGCAUCUCUUGGGCCUUGGCUGCUUUUUGAGAAGGAGUGCUGUGUAGCCAGAGAUGCCUCUUUGCCAGUGGGAUUUCUCCUCUGAGAAACAGAACCAAAAGUAGAAGUAUGUAAACAGCCAGGUACUCCUAGCCGCUCCUGAUGUCAGUAAGUACCUCAUCCUAAAGUAUUACAAGUAAUUAAAAUGCAAGAUUGUUUGCAAGGAGUCACACUGAUUAAGACAAGACAAUAUUCAUGAUGUAAUCUGGUCUUGGAACUCCUUAGCUGUCAUGAAAGCAUAAAAAAGCCCUCUGUGCUGUGGAGACCGCCAUUAAAAUCCUAAACCCUAAUCCACAGCUCUAUUACAGAAGAUGCUUUUAAGUUUGCACUGAAGAAAGUAUAUGAUUACAUAUAUCCAACAGAACUAUUAACUGUAGCUCAUUUAAUACAAAUAAUCAUGCCCACAUGAGAUAAAAUAUAAUCAGGAAAAUACAAAUGUGCACACACCUGUAGCUAAAUUAAGGACCUAAAGCUUGCAUAUCCCAGAUUGAAAUCAGACAUGCUACAAUCUUUAUAGUUAUUUUCAUAUUUAUGUUAACAACUUAUAAUAAAAUAUACAUUUUAUUUGAAUAUGGUUGUAAAGAAACAGCAGAAAUUUAGCCAUGAGAAGAUUUAAAGAUGAGGCAUUAAGUGACAGAUCUGCAAAGAUUCUUUUUCUCCUCAAGAAAUGAGGAAUAUACAAAACGAGUUUUGUAUUCAAUACAAUCUCUAGAGUAGCACUUAGCACAUAACUUAUACAGCAUACACUUCUAGUCAUCAAAUGCACCACAGUAUCUGAGCUCUUGCAUCUCUUCACUUGCUUUUCUAUACAUUUUUGCAAGCCAUGUACCAGGAUUCUAGAAAAGGCCACAUCUUCAAACUUGAAUGCUCAGACCUCCAGUGGUUGCUUUUCUUUGUACAUCACUCAGAGUUACAAAAUUGCCUUUCUGAGACCAGAAUCAGCUGAGGGGAAUGGGUCAUGCUUAUUUAAAAUACAAUAUCUAGCUUUCAACAAAAAACACUGAGUCAGUCACAGAUGAACAUUAACACAUUUCCGUUGCUUUGAAGUAAAUAAGUAAAAUAAUAUUAUCUAUUAAAAAAGUGUUCAUUUGUGAAUCCUGAGACAGCUUUUUGAAAUCGGGCUUUCUCUGAGGGGAAUAUGAAAUGAAAUGACAUUUCUCUGGUAUAUGACCUCUCUGUUAUCUCUCUGUUAUUGAGAUUAUAUGGCAUGCUCUUCUUUUCGGCUUAUGUCUCAGGUGCUUGCACACUGGAGCUUGCUCACAUUGCCCAGUGGUUUAAGCUGCACAACAAUUAAAAGCCAUACUUCAUCUGCCCUAAAUGAAGAGACCAGCAGUGCUGUCACGUCACUUCCAUAGCCUGUUUCUUUACUCGAGACUACAAAUAAAUCCUAGCUCAAUACUACUUUAUUUCAAAGGAAUUCAUUGCAUUGUUAUAAGAAUUGCAUCACAUAUACACAUAUUCUGCACUACUUGAACAGCUUCAUCUUAAUAAAUAUUUGUGAGGUACUACAAGAAGCAUUGCUUACAGGCUAUUUUUAAACAGUAUAUAAACCUCCUCCACUAGAUGGCUCUGAUGCUACAUACAUCAAAGCUGUUUGAACACUUACAUACUUACAUGUGUACACCUCUAAGUAGCUAUUAAGAAAGGCAGUUGAUACUGACAUAUUCAGAUAAUUGGUAAUCAGACAAAAAUAAAAGAUGUGAGAUGAAGUCAAUACAUAUGUACACAUGUGUACAUUCAACAAAAUAUUGAUAUAUUACAAUAUACAUUAUAUAUAUUAUUAUUAUUAUAUAAUAUAUAUAAUAUAUACAAUAAAAAAGUGAAACAUGCUCUUGCAUAGCAAACGCACAGUAAGUGUUAAAAGAAAUUUAAGCUGCACCUGUGUUCCCCUUCUGACCAGAAGGGGUGGAGCCACCCCAGGAUAUAAGAGCCAGACACUGAAGAGGGAGCAUCUCUUGGGCCUAAGCUGCUUACUGAGAAGGGGUGUUGUGUAGCCGGAGCUCCCCUUCACUAGCAGGGUGAGUUUAACUCUUUCUUUUUCUGUAUGUGACUAUUGGUGUUCCUGUGGGUUCUUUGCCUAGUAUUACUAAGGAUCUGCUGGAAGCAAUUUUGCUUCUUUGUGGGCACAAGAAGCAACCUCAAAACUCUUCUAGUAGCCAUGUUUCUAUUGUUGGUAAUUUAAAUUGCUGGGUUUGGGGUCUACUUGUGUUUGCUUUGUAUGUUUGGAUCAGUCUGCAAAAUUAGUAAAGAAAAAAACACAAGAUUUGUACUCUGAGUUGCAGCUACAUCAUGAAGUGCUAUCUUAACCUUUUUUCAUUUGCAUUCUUCGUUUGUAUUCCACCACUUUCUAUCCAGACAGGUGUUCACUACUGCAAACUCUGUAGGCAACUGAUUCAAUUUUCCUUCAUCUAAAAAACCUACUCAUUGUGUAAAAUGAAUGAUCUACAUAUGUAGAUUUUAAAAAGCAUACAUAUGCAAAUCUUCCUUAUUUUAAGAAUGCAUAUGCGUGUUUUCCUUUUAAGGCAAGGCUGGUGAAGAGCAAAUCAAAUACUUCCAUUUAACAGGUGUUUAGUGUUUCUGUAAUACUAAAUGCCUUGAGAUUAAAAAAAAAAACCAACCAAAACUUUGACAAAUAUAAGAAACCAUCAAAUGUUUUGUGCUUUUUCUUUACCACUUUAAUUAUUUAGCAUCUCAUUGCUACCUGGAUUUUGUUUAAAAUAAACAAACGCUUUUCAGGUUAUCUGUUAUUCAAUACGCCUUUUUUCAUCCAUGUUUAUCUUCAGCUUUUAUAUUCAAAAAGUGAGUGAAGAUCUUUCAGUACUGACUCUAAAAUCAGAUCGAAUAUUUAGCAUUGAGCAAACCUAAAAAAGAAUACACAAGAGUGUUUUGAAGCAUCCAUUUUCCUGAAGGAAAUUCAACACAACUACUGUUUCCUCCGUUUCUAUUCUUCUGGUCCUGCUUGUAAUUCACUGUUAAAUACCAGCCAUUCAAUUCUCCAUUUAUUUAAUGUUAUUCAUUUAUUUUGCACUUGCUAUCGUUUGGGGAAUUUUUGACUCAAAGCAUUUUUACUUUGACUGCAAAAGGAGAUGAAAUAUUUGCAGAAAGCGAUACUAUUUUGUGCUAAAAAUAACAACUUAAUCCUACAAACCUGUUUAAAUUUCCCUCUGAUUUUUUCCAGGUCGUCUUGAAGCUUUUCGUAAGUGGGGUCUUCAUAUGGGAACUUCUGUAUCAUUCCUAUUAAUGAAUCCAGGGCCCUCAUCUUUUUACUGAAAGAAAGCCACAAAAAAUGGCUAAAGGAACUUCCUCCACCAGUGUUUACAUGUUACAGUGGGAACAUCUGGGAGCUUUAUUCUUCUGGGAGCUGUGUAUGUUAAAAUACAUGUGCUUGGGAGCUCACAUCUCCAUAAAUACUCAAACAUAAAAGAAAGCGAGGCGGUUUCAUCUGCAUGCACCAAAGCCGUUUGGACACCACAGUGAGCCUUCCCAGACCUCAUUUAAGGGUUGGUAGUGGAGAUGAGGGUAUCUUGCUGGAGAUCCCUGCCCACCUGAGGCCCUUCUAAAGGUAGGCAGGUUCUUAUUUUUUGCCCUUUAUUUCUACACCCACGGCUGCUGUAUUUGGGCACAUCCUCACAUCGUGAAGCGUAGUAGCUGCAGCCUUUCUUCCCCACUG